ACGUAUGUGUCUUUGUGAUCGUUUUGAGUCACUCUGUAGCCAAGUUGUAUGAUUGACAAGAAAUGCAAACAAACAGAAACUCUGACCCAGGGGCCCGAUUACCCCUUGGACCCCGGGGCCUGUGCCUGGUAGGCCUGUUCAGUAAUCUUUCCAUGGAUCAGAACAAGUCCCCUCUUUGAGAUCCUCUCUACCUUUUAAAUAUGCAGUAGCAGGAGCUCAGGUCAGUCAGGAAGUUUAUCAACAAAAAACAAACAGAGUAAUCAUCCUCUUAGCAAUAGACCAGCUCUGUAGCUUCCCCGGUAGUUACCGCCACCCAAUUUUCUUUCCCAGGAUGGUGAAGUCAAGACCCGCCCUACUCUGCCUCUCAUAGGAGUCGUAGCCUUCGUUGGUUGAGUCGGUUGAGUCGGUUGAGUUGGCCAGGUUUAGGCAAAAGGAGUGAGACUGGUUAGGGUUAGGGUAAGAAUGAGUCUAGCUGAUUGUUGAUCGUGACAAGUUGAUGAAUCGGCUCUGCAGAAAAGGUGGAGAAUGAAAAAGACCUACCUGUGGACAGGUGCAUGCAGCCGUUGGUGCUGUGAGAAAAGAGCAGAUCCUGUUUUUCCAGAGAGAAAAGAUGGCGACACUGAAAGAAGUCCUCUUGGGAAUUUUAGAAGAUUUAGGAGCCGAGGAUCCUGAAAGGCUUCCCAACAAUCCCAAAGAGUCGACUGGAGAAUGCAGAGCGGGUGGACACAGUGGAUCGGAUGGUUCAGAACUAUUGUAUAAACAGCCUUAAAGUGACCAGAAUUGUUUUGGGGAAGAUAAAUAAGAAUGAUCUAGUGGUGAAUUCAUCAAACACCAUCUCAGAACCUACAGGUAAAUCAUUAAAAAAAAGAACAUUAUAAAGACCUUGAAUUUUACACAAUCAUGCGUCACGUUUUUACGACUGUGGUAAGGUCAUUCACAUGACAGUGAUAACAGAUACAGUGAAAAUACAGAUGUUGAAUUUGGCCUCCUAAAAUCAAGACCUCUCAGAGAAUCGCCAUAUUUACAUGGUGGACGACUUUAGGUACCCCCAUGACCAUAGAAGUUGUUGUCAGGGUCAAUAGCUUCUGGUAGGGUCACCCAAGGCAAUUGGUCCAAGGUGAAGCAUCCAACCAAGAGUGAGUGUAGAACCCUUAUGGCUCAGCAACCUCAGAAGCAAGCUACCUUGCCCAGAUUAGGGCCUCCUCCUGCAGCCAGGCCUGGGAGGGGAGCUCGGCGGCAAGCGCCUGGUUGCAGGGCCCACUUGCAAUGCUGGAUGUGAGGGUCGGCUGCAUUGCCAGUCAGGUCGCAGGCACAGGAGAGGACCUUGGCAUGCUCAUGCCAGGGUAGGAAAGCCGGUCACCUCUCUCCCGUCACCUCUCUGUUUGGGACAGAACCAGAGCUGGUGCGGGAGGUGGAGCGGUACCAACUAGACAUAGCUGGGCUCACCUCAACACGUAGCACCGGCACUGGACUUGUUCCUUCGCUUCCUCCUGGGUCUUUCACUGGAGAUCAAUCAGACUCUCCUACGGGGUCUGCUGACACAGACAGAAAGUAGCUCUGAGACCAACCAGGAAACAGUUGAUUACAUCAAAAAGAAGAUCAGUGAGAAUCUGUCUCCAGAGAAAAACAUCAAUCUGUUCCACUGUCUGAAUGAACUGAAUGAUCGUUCUCUAGUGGAUCAGAUCCAACAGGUCCUGAGAUCAGGAAGUCUCUCCACAGAUGAACUCCUGCUCAGUUGUCAGCUCUGGGCUUCAUCUUACUGUCAUCAGAAAAGAUCUGGACAUGUUUGACCUGAAGAAACUGUCUGACAGCAGUGCAAACGGAGCAGCCACAUCCUGAUCAUCCAGAGAGAUUCGACGGUUAUCGGGAAGUACGGGGAAAUCAGAAGCAGAGGAAACAAUGCUGACUGUCGGAUUGGAAGGAAUCAUCGGUCCUGGAGUCUGACGUGGUUACUCUGUUUGUCACAAUAAGACAGUGACCCCUCUCACAGAGCAGCAGUGUAUGUGGACAGUCCUGCUGACACUCUGAUCCACCUCCACACCUUCAACACCACAUUCCCUGAACCUCUUUAUCCUGGCUUUGGGUUCUGGUCAUUUGACCUAAUAUUCCACUAAUAACCAGAAUAAUAGCCCAUUCAGAAUAAAAAUAAUGUAACCACCUCACCUGGAAGAGACUGGCCCGAUCCGGCCCCGUCUUCAUUCGUCUUCAGAGGCUUGGUGUAAACGUCUGAUAAUCCGGUCAAUAGGAAAAUAUUAGCGCCUCAUAACAAUGUAAACGCUUCAUCAGAUCGGUUCUCUCUGGUUGGAAUAAACAUAUUCAUGUUCGCCCCACGUGGGGGUAACAUUUGGUGACAUGAACAAGUUUCCCGGGAGGGACAGAAACAUGAACAAUAAAAUUCAGUGUUCUUUAUUCA